CCUGGAUGAUGAUGAAAUGAUGAGGACAACACAAACACCCAGUCAUCUCGAGGCAGGUGAAAAUCCCUGACCCCGCCGGGAAUCGAACCCAGGACCCCGUGCUCGGGAAGCGAGAACGGUACCGCGAGUCCACGAGCGGCGGACAGCUUCUAAGAGACCUUUGAUCCCUAGCAAUAGGAACCUGAUAUUCUGAUGAUGGAUGAUGAUGAUGAUUAAAAAUCUAUUUUCUGGUUGCUUUUAUACAUGGUACGCCACUAUGUGGCAAAAAGCAUGUGAGUACAAUGUGCAGGCCAAGGCUCGGUCUGUCUCGACAUUGCUUGGUACUUCCCAGAAGUAUUCAGCACAGUGCAACGUUUUAUUUAACAAUGAGGUGCAGCAUUCUUCAGUGAGUACUACUUUCUUCAGUUUAGUGGAAUUGUUGUGUCGGCAAUGUUUAAUCUUUGUUAUUCAUUCAUGGUAUAAAAAAAACUUGACAGGUCCAGUGACUGUUUGCACUAUUUACUGCACAAAAUGAGGCAAUCUAGUUAUCUACUGUCACAAGCUUUUAAAAAUGAAUGGGAACAACACCCAUCAUAUAGUCAAAGCAUACCACAAAUCUUCUAUGGAACAACAUUGCAACACCAUCAGAAAGAAUUUAAAGAUUUAGUUGACAAAAAGAGCAAAAAAUCAUUAUCGACACACGGGAGUCAUAAGCAGCACUUUGUGCUAAAUUUGUAGGCAUGGAACAUGUGAUCAAACUGGUGUGUGAAUAGCAAGUUUUCUGAAGCCUCACACAUUAUUCCACUGUGAACUGUAACAGUUUUCAAUGGAAAUAAACGAGAAGUAUGGAGACACUACAUAUUACUGCAAAGUACAUUGGUUAAGUCAAGGGGUAUGCCUGCAAUUAUUUAUCAGUUUAAAACCCAACAUUGUCGUUGAAUUUAUGAAGGAAAAAGGAAGAGCAGAAACGAAAAUUAGAACAUCUGGUAUGGACUGCAGAUCUCGCACUGCGCAAGGAAUAAUUUGAGACAAAAAAGAAACGCCAUCCAUUUCCCUAAACCAACUCAUGUUAAAGAAAAUGCAAGAUUUGACGAAUACAUUGAGGACUUGAAAGAAUUAAAAGGACAGUUUUCUAAACAUUUUGGAGACAGCGCCAAGCUUAGGCUUUUUCCCGAGACAGUUUGCCAUUUCAGUUAGAAGUGGCCCUGUGCAUGUGCAAAUGUAACUGUAAUUGCAAUGCAAUUCCCAUUUAAAAAAGAUAUUAUUUUUUGUUUAAACUGUCCAGAGGGCCUACAUAGUUUUCCUCUGAAGAAGUUCCACAUCUCCAUUAUGAGGUUGGAAACAUAAUAAAGUGUUAAAGACUUUUUCAAUUAUAGAACUACAUAAGUCACCACUACGUGGCAA